rnacentral:lncRNA from 1 species
CAUGGGCCUGUGUAGGGUACAUCUCCAUGACAACCCAUCCUAAGGCAUGGCAUGGGGGCUGAAGCAUACUUGGAAGAGCAUCAAAAUUCAAGACUUGUUACUUCUUAUGUAUGAGCUGGGUGAGACACUGUUCGAGGAGGAAUUAGCUGAACUGUGGUGGUUUGGCAACAGAAGGACAGGGAGGAAGUAACGUGGAAUGGGAGAUCUGUGUAAAUGUGUAGCAUGUGGCUUUCUGCCCAAGCAAGACAGCUUCCCCUACCAUUUCCAGCUCUUCUAGGGCUUUGAAAGCAUCGAGUGUGAGAAGCAGGUAAGUUCAUACACUGCACUUACUC